rnacentral:rRNA from 1 species
CCUACGGGAGGCAGCAGUGGGGAAUAUUGCACAAUGGGGGAAACCCUGAUGCAGCGACGCCGCGUGAGUGAAGAAGUAUUUCGGUAUGUAAAGCUCUAUCAGCAGGGAAGAAAAUGACGGUACCUGAUUACGAAGCCCCGGCUAACUACGUGCCAGCAGCCGCGGUAAUACGUAGGGGGCAAGCGUUAUCCGGCUUUACUGGGUGUAACGGGAGCGUAGACGGUGAUGCAAGUCAGAAGUGAAAGCCCGGGGCGCAACUCCGGGACUGCUUUUGAAACUGUGUGACUGGAGUGCAGGAGAGGUAAGCGGAAUUCCUGGUGUAGCGGUGAAAUGCGUAGAUAGCAGGAGGAACACCAGUGGCGAAGGCGGCUUACUGGACUGUAACUGACGUUGAGGCUCGAAAGCGUGGGGAGCAAACAGGAUUAGAUACCCGGGUAGUC